CCUACGGGAGGCUGCAGUGGGGAAUAUUGCACAAUGGGGGAAACCCUGAUGCAGCGACGCCGCGUGAAGGAAGAAGGUCUUCGGACCGUAAACUUCUAUCAGCAGGGAAGAAGGAAGUGACAGUACCUGAAUAAGAAGCCCCGGCUAACUACGUGCCAGCAGCCGCGGUAAUACGUAGGGGGCAAGCGUUAUCCGGAAGCACUGGGUGUAAAGGGUGCGUAGGCGGUAGGGCAAGUCAGAUGUGAAAGCCCGGAGCUCAACUUCGGGACUGCAUUUGAAACUGUGUUAAUAGAGUGCAGGAGAGGAAAGCGGAAUUCCUAGUGUAGCGGUGAAAUGCGUAGAUAUUGGGAAGGACACCAGUGGCGAAGGCGGCUUUCUGGACUGUAACUGACGCUGAGGAACGAAAGCGUGGGGGGCGAACAGGAUUAGAUACCCGGGUAGUC
rnacentral:rRNA from 1 species